rnacentral:rRNA from 1 species
UGGGGAAUUUUGGACAAUGGGCGAAAGCCUGAUCCAGCAAUGCCGCGUGUGUGAAGAAGGCCUUCGGGUUGUAAAGCACUUUUGUCCGGAAAGAAAUCCUUGGCUCUAAUACAGUCGGGGGAUGACGGUACCGGAAGAAUAAGCACCGGCUAACUACGUGCCAGCAGCCGCGGUAAUACGUAGGGUGCAAGCGUUAAUCGGAAUUACUGGGCGUAAAGCGUGCGCAGGCGGUUUGCUAAGACCGAUGUGAAAUCCCCGGGCUCAACCUGGGAACUGCAUUGGUGACUGGCAGGCUAGAGUAUGGCAGAGGGGGGUAGAAUUCCACGUGUAGCAGUGAAAUGCGUAGAGAUGUGGAGGAAUACCGAUGGCGAAGGCAGCCCCCUGGGCCAAAUACUGACGCUCAUGCACGAAAGCGUGGGGAGCAAACAGGAUUAGAUACCCUGGUAGUCCAGCGCCCUAAACGAUGUCAACUAGUUGUUGGGGAUUCAUUUCCUUAGUAACGUAGCUAACGCGUGAAGUUGACCGCCUGGGGAGUACGGUCGCAAGAUUAAAACUUAAAUGAAUUGACGGGGUCAUAGCUGUUUCCU